rnacentral:lncRNA from 1 species
UCCGAUUCAUGAAGAUCAAGAAUUAGAUUGAUUGGCGGAGUAGGUGAUUCCAUAUCUAGUAUUUCUCUCUCCUAUUUCAAGCGAGUAAUUAUGCCAUUAAGUGGUCUUGAGAAUUGACAUUAAAUUUGCAUAUAAUCUAAUAAUCAGUUUUUGUUUGAGUAUAAAAAAUAAUGUUUUUUUUAUUUCUCUCUGUUCUCAUCAUUGGUAUUAGAACUUUCAAUGCCAUGGCCAACAAUGCUUUGUAUUAAUCCUGCUGAUUAUGCUUAUCUUGCAGGUUGUAGCAAGCAAUUUUGACAUAAGGGUUGAGUUGAAAUUGAAAUAAGAAAGGGAUGAAACAUUUGCAGCAUAUAUGUUAGGAAAAAAAAUUGCAACUUGCUAUUGAACCAAAAGGGAGCUGCUGAAAGUGGGUCUAAGCAGCAGCAACAACAACCCAAAAGGUAUGUGGUGCUUCUCUGUCACCAUAAUUCUAUGUUCUGCAAUUUCUGAUAAUCAGUUUAUGUUUGAGUAUAAAAAAGAAAGUCACAGAUUAUGGUUUUGUUCUUGCCAAUAUUGUUAAUGGAAGGGUAGACAUGGAUCGAAAGAGAAAGAGGAAGAUUAUGACAACUCUAGUUGCAGUAGAGUUAGAGAAACAACAUUUGUGUGCAUCCAUGAUGUUAGUAACUGUCAUAUAUGCUUUGACAGAUGGUACUAUGAAAAGUACCACUGCCGCAUCUGACCAAUGGUCUGGAUGGAGGGAUAAUUUGGUUACUGAGAUGUUUAAUGAGUGGAUGGCAAAUAGAGCAACAUGUAUUUGUUGAUCAUUUGAGUGUACCUCAAAGAAUUUUCGUGUUAUUAUUAAUUUUGUGAAUUUUUGGAUUUUUAUGAUAUCUUCAUGUUAUUUUUUAUUUUGUGUACAUGUUUUUUUAAUUAAAUUUAAUUAUUUCUGAUAUUAAAUAACUUUAAUAAACAUUAUAAAUAAAUUUUGUUUGAAGUCCAAUGUAGUCCAGCCCAUACUUGUACCAAACAACGGAUUGGACUUUAGUACAGUGCAGUCUAGCCCAACUUAAUGUAACAAAUAACUUAUUAAAGUCUAACUUAAUCCAAGCCAAACCAGUCCAACACUCUAAGCCCAAUCCUAACCAGUCCAGUCCAGCUCACCAAACAGGGCCUCAAAGAAAAGGAACAAAUAUAAUAUAGUGUACAGAAAUGAAAUUUUACAAAUUUUUAUCAGGAAUGAAUCUGAAAUGAAAGAAAAAAAGGAACUUUAAAGAAUCCAUACUCUUAUCAGUUCUUUAAGGUGCCAAUAAAUGAACCUAAUAUGUCAAAAGCCUACCCAGAAAACCACCCAGUUAUGUGCACCCAUAAACAAAACAUAUUAUCGAAAUAAAUCCUCAAAUAAUUCCACAAAGGAAACCAACCUUCAGACUUAGAAACCCAAUACCAAAGCUACAAAACAAACCCAGAGCUGAAUUUGAAACCUCCCAAAAUCAUAAAUUGAAAAAAGAUGACAGAUAAAUAAUGUGGCAAUGAAAUUUCCAGAUCCAGUAAAAGUAUUCGUACCAAGAGCAGCAUAUUCAAAUAGACAUGAUACAAUUUGGAAGAGAAGAGAAAAAAAGAACUCACUCUGUUUCUUCCUUUUUGGUCUAUAACUAUAAGGUAAUGGUAGUUGUGCAAAUACUUUGACGAGGAGGUGGUGGUCGCCUGCCUGGUUUUGGCUAUGGCUUAUGUGUUUUGGCUAUGGCUUCUGUGUUAAGCGAAAUACAAGAAAAUGCAUAGAUUAUAAAUGCAGGGACUCGGCAUCUGUCACAUUGGUUCCUGUGUUUGACCUCUUUGGAAAAUUUAGUUCGUGUUUUUCAAU